GGCACGGUGCGCUAAUCGGCAAAGCGGCCAGGCUCAAACCCUGGGUCAUGUGAGUUCGAAUCUCACCCGUGCUA
rnacentral:tRNA from 1 species